CCUACGGGUGGCAGCAGUGAGGAAUAUUGGUCAAUGGGCGCGAGCCUGAACCAGCCAAGUCGCGUGAGGGAAGACGGUCCUAUGGAUUGUCAACCUCUUUUGUCGGGGAGCAAAAGACGCCACGCGUGGCGUUCCGAGAGUACCCGAAGAAAAAGCAUCGGCUAACUCCGUGCCAGCAGCCGCGGUAAUACGGAGGAUGCGAGCGUUAUCCGGAUUUAUUGGGUUUAAAGGGAGCGUAGAUGGGUUGUUAAGUCAGUUGUGAAAGUUUGCGGCUCAACCGUAAAAUUGCAAUUGAUACUGGCAGCCUUGAGUACAGUUGAGGUAGGCGGAAUUCGUGGUGUAGCGGUGAAAUGCUUAGAUAUCACGAAGAACUCCGAUUGCGAAGGCAGCUUACUAAACUGCCACUGACAUUGAUGCUCGAAAGUGUGGGUAUCAAACAGGAUUAGAUACCCCUGUAGUC
rnacentral:rRNA from 1 species